GAUGAACGCUGGCGGCGUGCCUAGUACAUGCAAGUCGAGCGAACGGACGAGAAGCUUGCUUCUCUGAUGUUAGCGGCGGACGGGUGAGUAACACGUGGAUAACCUACCUAUAAGACUGGGAUAACUUCGGGAAACCGGAGCUAAUACCGGAUAAUAUUUUGAACCGCAUGGUUCAAAAGUGAAAGACGGUCUUGCUGUCACUUAUAGAUGGAUCCGCGCUGCAUUAGCUAGUUGGUAAGGUAACGGCUUACCAAGGCAACGAUGCAUAGCCGACCUGAGAGGGUGAUCGGCCACACUGGAACUGAGACACGGUCCAGACUCCUACGGGAGGCAGCAGUAGGAAAUCUUCCGCAAUGGGCGAAAGCCUGACGGAGCAACGCCGCGUGAGUGAUGAAGGUCUUCGGAUCGUAAAACUCUGUUAUUAGGGAAGAACAUAUGUGUAAGUAACUGUGCACAUCUUGACGGUACCUAAUCAGAAAGCCACGGCUAACUACGUG
rnacentral:rRNA from 1 species